rnacentral:rRNA from 1 species
UACGAAGGGGGCUAGCGUUGUUCGGAAUUACUGGGCGUAAAGCGCGCGCAGGCGGUUCUCCAAGUCAGUGGUGAAAGCCCGGAGCUCAACUCCGGAACUGCCAUUGAAACUGUUGAACUUGAGGACGAGAGAGGUGAGUGGAAUUCCCAGUGUAGAGGUGAAAUUCGUAGAUAUUGGGAAGAACACCGGUGGCGAAGGCGGCUCACUGGCUCGUUUCUGACGCUCAGGCGCGACGGCGUGGGGAUCAAACAGG